GCGCGGCGCCACAUCCGGGAAGCGGCCUCCAAGCAACCGCUCCGGGUUGAGGCCCCUCCUGACGAUUCCAAGACCACCCCCUUGAGCAAGAAUGCCAUCCCCUCUGGGUCCCCCAUGCCUGCCCCUCAUGGACCCAGAGACCACCCUUGAGCCUGAGACUGCCCGCCUCCGCUUCCGAGGGUUCUGCUACCGGGAGGUGGCAGGUCCCCGAGAAGCCCUGGCCCGGCUGCGUGAGCUGUGUUGCCAGUGGCUGCAGCCUGAGGCACACUCCAAGGAGCAGAUGCUGGAGAUGCUGGUGCUGGAGCAGUUCCUGGGCACACUGCCUCCCGAGAUCCAGGCCUGGGUGCGCGGUCAGCGGCCAGGCAGUCCUGAGGAGGCCGCUGCCCUAGUCGAAGGACUACAGCAUGACCCUGGGCAACUGUUGGGCUGGGUGAGUGUGGCUGGCAUCAGCUUCUUGGAGGGAUAGACCCUGGCUAGAGCCAUUGUGACCUACCUCUUCUCCUCAGAUCACAGCCCAUGUCCUGAAGCAGGAGGUGCUCCCUGCAGCCCAGAAGACAGAGGAACCACUUGGGAGCCCCCACCCCUCAGGGACAGUGGAGUCCCCUGGGGAGGGUCCCCAGGACACAAUAGAGGGGUCUGUCCAGCUCAGCUGCAGUGUGAAGGAGGAGCCCAAUGUCGAUGGACAGGAAGUGGGUGAGGUUGGGGUCCCACCAGAGAUGAGGGACUCCUGGAGGAAGUGUGGACAUUCCUGGCUAGGGUGGGAGUCCCAGGAGAGGUGUGUCAAGGCUGGGACUCCUGAAGUGAAUGUGGAUGUCCCUGUCUGGGAUGGGGACCUGGGAGGCAGGAGCCAAGGGCUGGCUACGUGCCACGUCACACAGCAGAGGAGCUCCUCAUCUGCCAUGGCUCAUGUGGGCAGCCCCUGACACCACCCUUCCAUCUGCCCCACUUUUCAGCACCCUCCAGCCCUCCACUUGCAGCACAGUCCCCUGAG
rnacentral:sRNA from 1 species